CCCCGAAGACCCUGCCCCCGGGCCUAGUAGUCACCUCACCUCCGCGCUUGGUUCUGCCUCCUGCCCCCGCUCUGAGUGGAUCUCAGGCUCAGCCGCACCCUCGCGCGAGGAACUACCAUUUCUCUGCCAUUAGGGGUUCAGAGAGUCUGAUGCCCGAACCCCGCAGUCAGUCUCCUCCGGCUGCAAGUCGCAGGCGGAAGUGACGUCAUGGCUCGCUUCCGUCUUUUCCGGUGCUGACUCCUGGCAGCUGGGUUCCUUUUCACCUUAGUGGCCCUGGGGCUUCCUACGCCUUCAGGGCUGGGUGCGGGGCCGACCGGCGCUGGAAGGGGGCAGUGAAAGUACGCGUUUGACCCGGGACGCCGAGGAGCCUCUCGGGAGACACCUGGCUUGCCCCGCCCGCGCCUCCUCCCGGGCUACCGGGUCUGCGAGGCCGCUCGGGCUGUCAGGAGCCACGUCGCGACUGCUGGAACACAUAUAACCUUCUAUACAGAGGAACAGAGAUUGCCACCAUCCCCUUAAAUGUGUAAGCUACUUUGAUGUGUCUUUGGAAUCACAGGCCUAUUUCACCAUCAGCCCUAUGAGAUGGAAGCCAUUGAUUUGUCCUGUGACUUAUUUUCUAGGGACCCCAUUUGCCUUCAUGAAGAAAAGACAGAGGCAGAAAGGAUGGUGGUUGAUAGCCUGACAAAUUGUUACCAGGUAGGAAGAAUGUACUAUCCUCCCAAAUGGCAUACUUCCUUGCUCCAAGAAGAUAUUUUCAUCUAGAUGUUCUUGUCUGCAAGGAUUCUUAAAGCAUAUAAAGUCUCCCUGAAGGACUGAGUCCAAGUUGAAUUUCUCCUGAGAAUGCAGCCUCUUAUAUUGGGGAACAAUUAUCCUGAAAAUCAUCCUGGGAUUUC
rnacentral:lncRNA from 1 species